rnacentral:rRNA from 1 species
AUGAUUGUAACAUCGGUCCAUAAAGAAUGGUACAGAUACUAUCUCUCAUCCACAGCAAAAAGGGGAAACUGAGUAGCAUGCCCGUACAUAGCAGCUGACAUCACAAACCUACAGGCCAAGUACCGUAGAGAGAGCAAGUUGGCAGACAUAGAGGCCACAAUUGCCUACUUCGAUGAGAAAGCGAAGGAAGAUCAAGAUUUCUUCUACAGGAUAAGGUUGGACGAUGAGGACCGUGUCAGGAACAUGUAUUGGGUGGAUGGUGCUGCAAGGAGAGCCUACAAACAUUUCCGAGAUUGCAUUUCAUUCGACGCGAUGUACCUCACUAAUAUGUACAAGAUGCCAUGCGCUCCGUUCGUAGGAAUAAAUAACCAUAAUCAGUCGUUGCAGUUCGGCUACGGGCUCGUCUGGAAUGAAGACACGGAUGGGUACGUUUGGCUGUUCAAGACCUUCUUGGAGUGCAUGGAUGGACUUGCUCCGAUGAACAUAAUAACAGACCAAGAUUUCAGCAUGCGUGCAGGCAUAGAGGAGGUCUUUCGGUUGGCAGUGCACAGGCACUACAGGUGGCACAUUAUAAAGAAGGCCGAGGAGACGCUAGGACCGUUCUUUGCUGACCGUCCAGAGCUGCACAAGGCAUUCGAGCUGUGCGUGGACCACAGCUUGACCGUGUAG